CAGCUCCUUGGCCUCGACAUCCCAUUGAUCCCAGACUUCUUUCAUUUCUCGAAGGUCAUUCUGGAUUACACUGAUACGGGUAAAAUCCCACAAUUCUGACACGUACCCUUCGGUAAGACUAUCGCCUUUCUUCCGUUGCGUCGUUUCAGCCCAUAUUCGCACAGCCGCAUUAUCCUCUACUUUAUCAACAAACCCCUUUUCCAUGAUAAGCUUUCUACCAAGAAACUGAACGUAAAUCGAC
rnacentral:lncRNA from 1 species